rnacentral:rRNA from 1 species
AUUGAACGCUAGCGGGAUGCCUUACACAUGCAAGUCGAACGGCAGCACGGACUUCGGUCUGGUGGCGAGUGGCGAACGGGUGAGUAAAGUAUCGGAACGUGCCUAGUAGCGGGGGAUAACUACUCGAAAGAGUAGCUAAUACCGCAUACGCCCUACGGGGGAAAGGGGGGGAUCGCAAGACCUCUCACUAUUAGAGCGGCCGAUAUCGGAUUAGCUAGUUGGUGAGGUAAAGGCUCACCAAGGCGACGAUCCGUAGCUGGUUUGAGAGGACGACCAGCCACACUGGGACUGAGACACGGCCCAGACUCCUACGGGAGGCAGCAGUGGGGAAUUUUGGACAAUGGGGGCAACCCUGAUCCAGCCAUUCCGCGUGUGCGAUGAAGGCCUUCGGGUUGUAAAGCACUUUUGGCAGGAAAGAAAUCGCACGGGGUAACACCCCGUGUGGAUGACGGUACCUGCAGAAUAAGCACCGGCUAACUACGUGCCAGCAGCCGCCGUAAGAC